rnacentral:rRNA from 1 species
CAGCCGCCACGGUAAUACGUAGGUCCCGAGCGUUGUCCGGAAUUAUUGGGCGUAAAGGGCUCGCAGGCGGUUUCUUAAGUCUGAUGUGAAAGCCCCCGGCUCAACCGGGGAGGGUCAUUGGAAACUGGGAAACUUGAGUGCAGAAGAGGAGAAUGGAAUUCCACGUCUAGCGGUGAAAUGCGUAGAGAUGUGGAGGAACACCAGUGGCGAAGGCGACUCUCUGGUCUGUAACUGACGCUGAGGAGCGAAAGCGUGGGGAGCGAACAGGAUUAGAGACCCGCGUAGUCCCUGUCUCUUAUAC